rnacentral:rRNA from 1 species
UAGUCUGGUGCCAGCAGCCGCGGUAAUUCCAGCUCCAAUAGCGUAUAUUAAAGUUGUUGCAGUUAAAACGCUCGUAGUCGGAUUUCGGGGCAGGUUUGCCGGUCUGCCGAUGGGUAUGCACUGGUAGAACUGUCCUUCCUUCCGGAGACGGCGCCUACUCUUAACUGAGCGGGUGUCGGAGACGGAUCGUUUACUUUGAAAAAAUCAAAGUGUUUCAAGCAGGCAGCUCGCUUUUGCAUGGAUUAGCAUGGGAUAAUGAAAUAGGACUUUGGUGCUAUUUUGUUGGUUUCGAACACCGAAGUAAUGAUUAACAGGGACAGUCAGGGGCACUCGUAUUCCGCCGAGAGAGGUGAAAUUCUUAGACCAGCGGAAGACGAACCACUGCGAAAGCAUUUGCCAGGGAUGUUUUCACUGAUCAAGAACGAAAGUUAGGGGAUCGAAGACGAUCAGAUACCGUCGUAGUCUUAACCAUAAACCAUGCCGACUAGGGAUUGGAGGAUGUUCCUAUGUGACUCCUUCAGCACCUUUCGGGAAACUAAAGUCUUUGGGUUCCGGGGGGAGUAUGGUCGCAAGGCUGAAACUUAAAGGAAUUGACGGAAGGGCACCACCAGGAGUGGAGCCUGCGGCUUAAUUUGACUCAACACGGGGAAACUUACCAGGUCCAGACAUUGUGAGGAUUGACAGAUUGAGAGCUCUUUCUUGAUUCGAUGGGUGGUGGUGCAUGGCCGUUCUU